rnacentral:rRNA from 1 species
GAUGAACGCUGGCGGCGUGCCUAAUACAUGCAAGUCGAGCGAACGGACGAGAAGCUUGCUUCUCUGAUGUUAGCGGCGGACGGGUGAGUAACACGUGGAUACCCUACCUAUAAGACUGGGAUAACUUCGGGAAACCGGAGCUAAUACCGGUUAAUAUUUUGAACCGCAUGGUUCAAAAGUGAAAGACGGUCUUGCUGUCACUUAUAGAUGGAUCCGCGCUGCAUUAGCUAGUUGGUAAGGUAACGGCUUACCAAGGCAACGAUGCAUAGCCGACCUGAGAGGGUGAUCGGCCACACUGGAACUGAGACACGGUCCAGACUCCUACGGGAGGCAGCAGUAGGGAAUCUUCCGCAAUGGGCGAAAGCCUGACGGAGCAACGCCGCGUGAGUGAUGAAGGUCUUCGGAUCGUAAAACUCUGUUAUUAGGGAAGAACAUAUGUGUAAGUAACUGUGCACAUCUUGACGGUACCUAAUCAGAAAGCCACGGCUAACUACGUG